rnacentral:rRNA from 1 species
AUUGAACGCUGGCGGCAGGCCUAACACAUGCAAGUCGAACGAGUGGCGGAAGGGUGAGUUAUGUCUGGGAAACUGCCCGAUGGAGGGGGAUAACCACUGGAAACGGUAGCUAAUACCGCAUACCAUCGGAUCUGCCCAGAUGGGUAUAGCUAGUGGGUGGGGUAACGGCUCACCUAGGCGACGAUCCGUAGCUGGUCUGAGAGGAUGACCAGCCACACUGGAACUGAGACACGGUCCAGACUCCUACGGGAGGCAGCAGUGGUGAAUAUUGCACAAUGGGCGCAAGCCUGAUGCAGCCAUGCCGCGUGUAUGAAGAAGGCCUUCGGGUUGUAAAGUACUUUCAGCGGGGAGGCGUUACCCGCAGAAGAAGCACCGGCUAACUCCGUGCCAGCAGCCGCGGUAAUUC